CAGUAGCCACGGUAAUACGGAGGGUGCAAGCGUUAUCCGGAUUUAUUGGGUUUAAAGGGUCCGUAGGCGGACUUAUAAGUCAGUGGUGAAAGCCUGUCGCUUAACGAUAGAACUGCCAUUGAUACUGUAAGUCUUGAGUAUAUUUGAGGUAGCUGGAAUAAGUAGUGUAGCGGUGAAAUGCAUAGAUAUUACUUAGAACACCAAUUGCGAAGGCAGGUUACCAAGAUAUAACUGACGCUGAGGGACGAAAGCGUGGGUAGCGAACAGGAUUAGAUACCCCAGUAGUCCCUGUCUCUUAUAC
rnacentral:rRNA from 1 species